UUCGAAUGAGUAAAAUUUUUUAAAAUUAUUUUUUAUAGAAUAUAUAUAUAUAAUAGUGUAAAGCUACUAUACGAUCGAAAAUAUAGAGGAUUUAAUACUUCCGAUUUUUAAUUCUUGAAUCACGAAUUGUAUGGCUGGGAUGAAUGUGUCACGCCCCGGAUUAUCCGUUUUUCCGGACGCGUCGACAAAUCCGUCGUAUACAAAAAAAAAUUUCCUGUAUACGAAGCGACAGCUGUACCUGGAAUCAAACAAUACUACCACCAGUAAUAUAGAGCUGCUAGAAGAAAUGAUAUAUAUAAAAACAGAAGUUCACUAUACAUACAAGCAUCCAAAUGUAUCACACACUCGCUCCGACGAGUUACAACAAAAGUAUGUAUAUGAACUCAAAAAUUACAACUAUCUGUAGCUGGCGCUCCUCUAACUCAGCAGCAACUGGAAAGGGAUCUAACUCGCGACUCUCUUGCCACGGUCCGAAUCAGCAACAGCAGCAGCCGAAGAAGAAGGCUCUGCAAAAGAUUCCAACAACUGGGCGUGAGAACUAUUACAAAAAGAAAUAGUUCUCAGUGAGUACCGCUACCGACCUCAACGGCUCACCCACUAAGUUUACAGAUGUAAACAAAUAUAGUAAGAAAGCUGGAAUAAAUCUACAGCUAUAUGCAACUAUACUAUCUCAGUCUAACACCCACUAUCUGUAGAAAAAUACAAUCUGACACAAUCUCACUAGGGACUGUAAACAUAUCCGUCUCAGAGAUUGUGAACACAUCUGUCCCGCCUGUCAAAGCUAUACCGCUACCUCCACACUAAACAGUCCGUGGAGAGUAAGUCCAACCAGGACUAAACAACACCAACGCAAAAGCAUAAAGCCCGACUCCGGAGUGGCACUCGUAGACGCUACCCAAUCGAGUAUGCAAGCGUGUCUCUGUCGAGCUCAAUCAGGCUCUCGCAGGCUAUAGUCAAGUAAAUAGGGUCAAACAACUGAACUCACGUGCCCUUGGCACAAUCUGAUGCAAGAACUAUAAUAUGGGUCCACCGUCAACCCCAACGGCACCCGACAAGCUGAAGCAGUCUAAACAAUACCGUAAAAAUAAGCUCAGCAUCCGAGCACGAGCGUAAAAUUAUUCUACACUAUUCUGAGUAUCCACCGCUCCCAGACUGCGACGAUACAAACAAACU
rnacentral:lncRNA from 1 species